UUUUUGCCUCAACAGCAUGCUGGGAGUUGUAGUUUUGCAACAGCUGGAGGCGCCUUAGUUGAAAAACACUGCUACAGCUCCCAGGUUUCCAUGAUAGUUGAAGACAUGCUGGGCGUUGUCGUUUUGCAACAGCAGGAGGCACAUAAUUUAGAAAACACAAGUAGCGCAAAAUCAUAUAAAUCUGGUUCAUUCUAUGACUUUUUCGCCCCCAUGGCUCAACAAAUCCCAGGCGUCAGGACUAGGAAAUGCAUCCUGGCACCUAGUUUUUUUUGCCUCAACAGCAUGCUGGGAGUUGUAGUUUUGCAACAGCUGGAGGCGCCCUGCUUGGGGAACACUGCUAUAGGGUAUGUAAACUUUUGCAAAAAAAAAAAUAUAUAUAUUAAAGAAAAUUGUAUUGCU